GAGAAAGCUUACUCAAGAAUGUGUUUGAACUGAGAUUUCAAAGAUAACCAGAUCUCGUCUGGGUGAAUGAGUCAGUAGAAGAUAUUCAAGGUACAAGAAUGCCUCACUGGAAGUUCAGAUGUGAGAAUGAGUAUGACACUUUUGAAGAUCUGGAAAAAGACCUGUGUGGCCAGAGAAGAGAGUGAAGGGUUUUGGGGUACAUGUGCAGAACGUGCAAGACAGUUGCAUAGGUACACACAUGGCAGUGUGUUUUGCUGCCUUUCUCCCCUUCACCCACAUUUGUCAAAAAGGUUUUCAAGCCCCCCAGACAAUGU
rnacentral:lncRNA from 1 species